GAUUUUGGGUUUUAUAAUUUGAUUCUCGAAAUUUAUAAGAUGAUACAAUGGAAGCAGAGUUUCCAAGGUCUGAUAACCCUGCCAUGACAUUCAACAAGGUUUCCUUGGAGCAUAGCAAGAGUUUCGUCAAAGCUCUGCAGAAACUCAAGAACUUGAGGCCUCAGCUUUAUUCAGCUGCAGAAUACUAUGAGAAGUCAUAUAUCCAUAGUGAACAGAAGCAGAUGGUACUGGACAACCUGAAAGAGUAUGAUGUU